UACGUAGGGUGCAAGCGUUAAUCGGAAUUACUGGGCGUAAAGCGUGCGCAGGCGGUUAUGCAAGACAGAUGGGAAAUCCCCGGGCUCAACCUGGGAACUGCAUUUGUGACUGCAUAGCUAGAGUACGGUAGAGGGGGAUGGAAUUCCGCGUGUAGCAGUGAAAUGCGUAGAUAUGCGGAGGAACACCGAUGGCGAAGGCAAUCCCCUGGGCCUGCACUGACGCUCAUGCACGAAAGCGUGGGGAGCAAACAGG
rnacentral:rRNA from 1 species